AAAUUGAAGAGUUUGAUCAUGGCUCAGAUUGAACGCUGGCGGCAGGCCUAACACAUGCAAGUCGAACGGUAACAGGAAGCAGCUUGGCUGCUUUGCUGACGAGUGGCGGACGGGUGAGUAAUGUCUGGGAAACUGCCUGAUGGAGGGGGAUAACUACUGGAAACGGUGGCUAAUACCGCAUAACGUCGCAAGACCAAAGAGGGGGACCUUCGGGCCUCUUGCCAUCAGAUGUGCCCAGAUGGGAUUAGCUUGUUGGUGAGGUAACGGCUCACCAAGGCGACGAUCCCUAGCUGGUCUGAGAGGAUGACCAGCCACACUGGAACUGAGACACGGUCCAGACUCCUACGGGAGGCAGCAGUGGGGAAUAUUGCACAAUGGGCGCAAGCCUGAUGCAGCCAUGCCGCGUGUAUGAAGAAGGCCUUCGGGUUGUAAAGUACUUUCAGCGGGGAGGAAGGUGUUGUGGUUAAUAACCGCAGCAAUUGACGUUACCCGCAGAAGAAGCACCGGCUAACUCCGUGCCAGCAGCCGCGGUAAUACGGAGGGUGCAAGCGUUAAUCGGAAUUACUGGGCGUAAAGCGCACGCAGGCGGUCUGUCAAGUCGGAUGUGAAAUCCCCGGGCUCAACCUGGGAACUGCAUUCGAAACUGGCAGGCUUGAGUCUUGUAGAGGGGGGGUAGAAUUCCAGGUGUAGCGGUGAAAUGCGUAGAGAUCUGGAGGAAUACCGGUGGCGAAGGCGGCCCCCUGGACAAAGACUGACGCUCAGGUGCGAAAGCGUGGGGAGCAAACAGGAUUAGAUACCCUGGUAGUCCACGCCGUAAACGAUGUCUACUUGGAGGUUGUGCCCUUGAGGCGUGGCUUCCGGAGCUAACGCGUUAAGUAGACCGCCUGGGGAGUACGGCCGCAAGGUUAAAACUCAAAUGAAUUGACGGGGGCCCGCACAAGCGGUGGAGCAUGUGGUUUAAUUCGAUGCAACGCGAAGAACCUUACCUGGUCUUGACAUCCACAGAACUUUCCAGAGAUGGAUUGGUGCCUUCGGGAACUGUGAGACAGGUGCUGCAUGGCUGUCGUCAGCUCGUGUUGUGAAAUGUUGGGUUAAGUCCCGCAACGAGCGCAACCCUUAUCCUUUGUUGCCAGCGGUCCGGCCGGGAACUCAAAGGAGACUGCCAGUGAUAAACUGGAGGAAGGUGGGGAUGACGUCAAGUCAUCAUGGCCCUUACGACCAGGGCUACACACGUGCUACAAUGGCGCAUACAAAGAGAAGCGACCUCGCGAGAGCAAGCGGACCUCAUAAAGUGCGUCGUAGUCCGGAUUGGAGUCUGCAACUCGACUCCAUGAAGUCGGAAUCGCUAGUAAUCGUGGAUCAGAAUGCCACGGUGAAUACGUUCCCGGGCCUUGUACACACCGCCCGUCACACCAUGGGAGUGGGUUGCAAAAGAAGUAGGUAGCUUAACCUUCGGGGGGGCGCUUACCACUUUGUGAUUCAUGACUGGGGUGAAGUCGUAACAAGGUAACCGUAGGGGAACCUGCGGUUGGAUCACCUCCUUA
rnacentral:rRNA from 1 species